GCUCUCGUUUUGGCAGCACAUAUACUAAAAUUGGAAGCAUAUGGAGAGGAUUAGCAAGGCCCCUGCGCAAGGAUGACACGCAAAUUCGUGAAGGGUCCCAUAUUUUG
rnacentral:snRNA from 1 species